CUGGAGGCGAUGGGUAGAAAUGAUUUGGUCCAGCAACCUCAUUGUACAGCUGGGGAGCUGGAGGCCCAGAAAAGGGAGGUGACCUGCCCAUAUUGCCCAGUGACUAGUCUGUGGCAAAGCCAUCUCAGCCCUCUCAGUCAUCUGCAGGGCUAGCCCAUGGAGGAAGCCUAGGUAAGAAGCAGGGCCUAGAGGGGAGAAGCAGGGACAAGGUACUGUGGAGCAGCAAAGACCUGGUUAUUGCCCAGCUGUGGGGGUCACAGCCCCUGGCAGGUGGGGGCUGUGUCUUUGUUAUUUGAUUCUCCCUUCUCCCAGGUCAGAGCUCUGUGUCUGGCAGGGUUUGAAAGAUGUUGGCUGGACACAGCACAGUGCCUGGCACUCAGUAGGGGCUCCAGAAAUAUUUGGUAUUAAACAGCUGUUUAGUUGAACGGUGAAGUAGGGUGACUAAAGCAAGAAAUUUGGAGGCAGCUAGAACUGGUUGAAAUCACUUAGUAGCUGUGUGACAUUGAUAAAGUUACUUAACCUCUCUGAGCCUAAGUUUCCUCAUUUAUUAAAUGAGACUCUAGUAGAGUUGUUGUGGGGAUUAAAUGAGAUAAGAUACUGAUGCUUAAUACAGUGUAUAGUACGUAACAAAAUCUUAAUAAAGUUGCUAGCUGUGUCACCACAGGUAAGUUACAUGAGCUCUCUAAACCUGUUUCCUUCUCUGUUGUCAUAAGAAUUCAAUGAAAGGUUGUAUAGCUAGCCUAGUCCUUGGUGCAUCACGGGCACUUAGUAAAUGUUAGCCUGUCUCCCGCCUAGGUUCAUUACCCCUCCACCUCUUCAACGUCUCUUUCCUCUGCCCCCCAGCCUCUGUGAUCGCUGCCAUCCCUUCCAUGGCAUCUCAUCUCUCAUACCUUCUGUCUCCCAGCCUCUGACACUCCCAGCAACAAAAGCUCACAAGGUCUUUCGGUCCAUGGUUUCCUCAGGGUUCGGCUCUGAUGAGCAUGGGUGGGAGGGGGGCAACUGAGAAGGAGGCUGAGGACAGGACAGGUGUAGUCCUUGGACGAAAAUCCCAGUUCUGCUUUUGACAAAGGAUUUAAGGAUUCCGGCGUGUCUAGCCCUGUGUCUUGCCCUGGAGAACAAAGGCAGAGGGAUGUCUUCCUGAACAGCCCAGGCACAAAGCUGCCACCAUUCUUCCCAUUCCCUUCCUCCUGAUUUCCAAGUCCAGAGGUUGUCAAUAGCACUCUCAGCAGCUGAGCUUCCCUGAAAUCGGGGUGUGUGGAGGAGGGCAGGUGGCAGGUAAGAGAUACUAGUGCAAGCAAGAGGGCGUGUCCAGAGAGUCAGUUGUAGGAGAAGUCUCUGGAGCUUCGGGGCAGGAGGCAGAGCUGGCUCCCACAUAGGUGACCCCCUAGCACCGGCUUCACCAUAGGCCUGGGCCAGGCCACAGAAAACACCCUCUGGGCCUGGGAAGCAGAUUGAGCCAUUCAGUCUUUACACGUGGUCAGGUUUCUGCUUCAGUCACUUGAGUGCAGUUUCAUAAACCAAAUGAGAUCAAUGAGCUUGUCCUUUCCAGGCCUCUUUUUAAACAUUGGGAAAUGGUUUGGGGGCAUCUCAUCUGCUGCAUCUGCUGUGCUUCCCAAUGUCAGAUAUUAUUUACUUGGAGCAAAUAUAAACUAUUCUGUCCUAAAUAAACUCUGACACAGGAACAAGAGGACUUCAGGGCAAGAACCAUCUCCUUACCUUCCCUCUUGCUAGUGGGCACGGAUAUGUGACCUGGAGACCUAUUGCAUCAUGCAGGAACUGAGCCAGUCCAGAGCUGGCCAAGCCUGUGCGGAGAUGUUUAUUUACCCAGAGAUGAGAACCUGGAGGCCACACUAUGUGGUGGUUACUGUACCACGUAGGACAGCCCAGCUAGCGAAGUCCCUGGGGUUAGUGAACAACACACAAAAAUAAGGUUAUAUCCAUCCUCAAAGUGAAUAUGGGCAGGAGAGAAUCUGACAGCGGCAGAGGAGUCUGAAUUGGGUCAUGCACAGACACAAAGAGAGGAGCCCGUGGGGAAUACACAUCCUGGCGUUUCUGAUUUCGCACGAGAUCAGCUGAGAUUCGCUUAGUCUGGAGCAGCUCUCCACAGAAAAGGGCCUGGGGAGCUUUUUCUGCACACAGACUCCUGUCUGUGUCUCUGCCUGGGCCCAAGAGAAGUGAAGGAACAGAGGGGGUGGCUGCUGGAGGAGUUGGGACUUCUCAGACAGCUGCUCCCGUGGGUUGGAGUGCUAGGAGGGCUUGCUUUUCUGAAGCCUGAUAGGGUUGCUCUUUUGAGUUGAGGGAGAGGCCCCCCCCCAACCUUUUUUAUUCUCCUUGGAGUUUCUCUAGGGUCUCAGACCAGAGACACAUGACCGAUUCUAACCAUCUUCUCUGCAAAGAAGGCCAUGGGCCCACCUGUCUCUAAGACUAAUAGAGCCCCCUUCUCCUCACCUGAGAUUGGGAGACCUGGGGAGGCUCUAUGUGUGUGUGUGUGUGUGUGUGUGUGUGUGUGUGUGUGUGUGUGCACAUGCAUGUGUGUGCAUGCAGGAUGGGACAUCUAACUACCCACUGAAGAUUUGCUUCAAGUCCCGCCCCCAGUGUAUAUUCCCUAAAACCCAUUCCUGCCCCAUCUUCCCCCUGCCUUUCCCCCAUCUCCUUUGCCUUAAUUCCCCCCACAAUCCCUUUAGGUCUGUUUCUUUUCCUCCAACUGUUCACCCUCAACAAAGACAUGUAACUGAGAACCAUUCCCAGAGAAGACGGCCCAUCUUCCUUUCUUAAAAAGAUCAGUUGCCUGAUUUCCUUUGGGACCGCUGCCAUAUUUCUUUUAUAUUUCAUUCAUUCUCCAGACUCAGUGAUAAGGACAGGAACUAUUUAAAGGGGAGAAGGGAGGUUCUCCUUAAGGACCUAAUCAAAGGACAAGAUGAACGGUGCCUGCCGGAGAGAACGAGACAGCGUGGGAUGAGGGCGGGUGCCACGGUGGAUGUGCAGGGAUGUUCCCGUGAGCCCAGCAGGGUCUGGUGGGAAGAGCUCUGGUUAGGAGCCCAGGGAACUAGGUUAAAGUUCCAGCAUUGCAAAGACCUCCCAAGAGACCUCAGGCUAGUUGCUUCCCUCUCAGAGCACGAGUUGACUCACCAUGCAAUGGAUGGAAAGGCCAGAUUCACUCAUCUCUAAAUUGCCUUCCAGCUUGAAUUAUAAAUUCUGUGGGGAUGGAAAUGGGCUAAGGAAUUGAAUUUGGUUUCCUUGUGGUUAGCAACUUUUUUUUUUAAGUUACCGUUUCUUAAACAUCUCCUAAAGAUUACCAACAACACAUAUGUAAGUUUUUCUAAGCAUUUUACAUAUAUGGAUUCGUUGCCUUCCACAACAAUCCUAGGACAUAGGUACCAUUAGUAUCCCCAUUAUACAGAUUAAGAAACUGAGGUACAGGGAGGCUAAGUAACCAGCCCAGGCAGUGGAGCCGGGGUUCAAACCAGGCAGUCUGGCUGCAAAGUCCCUCUUCCUCACCACCACACUCAACAUUCCAGGCACUGUGCUAACUGUUUACACAAAUCCUCUCCAUUUUGCAGUUGAGAAACCCAAGACUCAGACCAGUUGGGCAACAGCUGAAGGUCACAUAGCUGGGAAGCAGUAGAGAUGAGAUUCAAAGUCGGCAGAGCUCCAGAGUCUCUGCUCUCCCCCACACCCUCCUGCAACCCUGCCAGACGCUCAGGCUUCCAAAGCAAGUUUAACCAAUAUCCCUGCAUUGCCACGCCUCUUCAGGCAAGUCAGCUUCUCCCCGCUGGGCCUCAGUUUCACCAUCUAGAAAAUGACUGGGGGAUUGGCCCAGCUGAUCUUUGAGGUCCCUUGGAGCUCUGUGAGUCUGUGAUGAGAAAGGUGUGGUGCUUCUAGCUGAAAGGGAAGACCUGUGGCCUGGGAAUACCUUGGGCUUGGCUUGGGGUUGCAGCCAGCAAGGAUGAGGGAGAUGAGGGCCUGGGGAUGAAAUGAAAAGGAAAUUUCAGGUGACUGGAGAAGGCUUAUUGGCUGUGAACCUGGGAAGAGGGUUCAGAUGUAUGAAGCAGGUAAGAAAAGAAGAGAGAAGCCCUGGGUGGGCCUCCCAGGGGGCCUUUUCCUUCUUCCCAGGGGUCACCCCAAGCUCAAGAUGGGCACAUGAGAGCCUCGGGCAAGGGAGCAGGGAUCAGGCCAGCACUGAACCGAGGUCAGAACUUCUGAGACACAGCAGUUCGAGGGAAUUGACAUUGCUGGGGGUUUUGUUUUCUCUGUAAAUAUUUGGAGAUGUCCAGUUAUUCUAGAAAAAUGUAUCUGCAGCUGAGGGGGCGCAUUUGUGCGGCUGGCCUGGCUGCCUUUUGCAUGACUGCUCUGUUACAUUCUUCCCCUUCAGGAACCGAGGGUUGUUUUCCCAUCUGUAACCUCAUUAGGAUGUCCACACCAGCGGGCUCCACACGCACAUGCGCUCCGGCAGGUUCCCCUCGGGGACACACACGCACACUGGCAUUGCCCCCUGGCCACACGCUCACGCACACAGUCGCAGCUGUGCCUUUUAAUAUUUAAUGCCAUUGCUGCAAACGCCGCUCCACGCUGACUGCAUCCGUGCCAGGCUCAUUCCUCUCAGGGCGCCAAUUCCCGGCUUGGAGACCAGCUGACAAAUCUUGUUAAAAACCUUCCAGCCCAGUGCAUCUCUCGGAGGAGGGUAAUGUCACGUGCUUGCGAGAUGAGCGAAUGGGUGUCAUUACCAGGCAGCUCCAUUUUCAACGAGGCUCUUUCCACUUGGGGAAAUGGAUGGAAUCACCUAUUGCGUUGGACUGACCUGCUCUCUGGCUUGCAGAAGUCACGGCUCUGGGUGGCACCAAGGCACGAAAUGACACGGACACCUGGCCUGUGUGGGGGCCUUUGUCUGUCCCUCUCUCCCUGCUCCUCCACAGUCAGUAUCCACACUAUGGUUUGAAUGUAUGUAUCUUUCCGACAUUCAUAUGGUUGGAACAUAAACCCCAAGGCAAUGGUAUGAGAAGUUGGGGGGGGCCUUUGGGAGUUGAUUAGGUCAUGAAGGCUCCACCCUUGUGAACGGGAUUAAUGCCCUUAUAGCAAUAAAAGAGCAGGAGGGAACUAGUUAGGCUCAUUGUGAUCUUCCACUCUUCUACCACAUGAGGACACAGUGUUUGUCCCCUCCAGAGGGCAUGGCAAGGCCCCAUCUCGGAAGCAGAGAGAGUCCACACCAGACACUGAAUCUGUUGGCGUCUUGAUCUUGGACUUCCAAUCCUCUAAAACUGUGAGAAAUACAUUUCUAUGGUUUGUAAAUUACUCCAUCGGUGGCAUUUUGUUGUACCAGCAGGAAGGGACUAUGACAUACACCACGGAGGCCACUGCUGCUACAGUGGCUAGCAGAGAGGAUCAUGGGUGGUUCCAGCUCUCAUGCCAGCAAAGGGUCUCAUCCCUGACCCCUAGUCCAGUAUGCUGUGGUCUCCAAGCCCACAGAAAGGCCCUCCCUCCAAACCCCAGCUUUCAGAGUCUAAGGGGCUGACAAAAGGUUAAGGGCUCUAGUUCUGGUCUGAGCUGGGACAGGUGAGCAGGCUACUGUGCAAGAGCUGCUAAAUGCAGAGUCCCCAGGUAUCGAGGUUACCCGGAAAAGUUGGCCUUCCCAAAGCUGCAGUAGGAUCAGCAUGUCCGGUUCAGUGCUGACUGUGCAGGCUUGGGGCCUAUCCCUUGAACUCUGGAAGGGUAUUUGCAAGAUGGACCUCCUGUCCUCAUCUUCCUUCUACCUUUCAGCCUCUUGGUCCUGUGUCACCAGACGGGCUCAGAGCAUUCCUGAGCAACUUUGUGGUUCUGAGCGUCUCUAAGAAACGAGGCCUGGGAGAGGGCAGGGAGGAGGGGAGAGGGGACGGUCAGGUGGGGUGUGGGGGAUUGCAAAACAAAGACACGCUCAUUUGCCAUUUACCAAAGACUUUUUUUUUCUUUUUCUUUUAAAGCUGUUGUUUCCUCAAGGGAAAACUUUAUCUGUGUGUGGGUAAAAUGUUGCUCUCUUAACGAAUCGAAAGCAGAACAUGAGG
rnacentral:lncRNA from 1 species